UUCCUGGCAGAUUAAAACUGUGUGCCGGACCGAGACUCGAACACGGACCCGGUUCGAGUCUCGGUCCGGCACACAGUUUUAAUUGCCAGGAAGUUUCAUAUGAGCGCACACUCCACUGCAGAGUGAAAAUCU